rnacentral:tRNA from 1 species
GUCUCUGUAGCUCAGUUGGUAAUAGAGCGCUGCACCAGAAUCACAGGGCCGCAGGUUCAAUUCCUGCCAGGGACC